rnacentral:RNase_P_RNA from 10 species
GAAGCUGACCAGACAGUCGCCGCUUCGUCGUCGUCCUUUCGGGGAGACGGGCGGAGGGGAGGAAAGUCCGGGCUCCAUAGGGCAGGGUGCCAGGUAACGCCUGGGGGGGAAACCCACGACCAGUGCAACAGAGAGCAAACCGCCGAUGGCCCACGUAAGUGGGAUCAGGUAAGGGUGAAAGGGUGCGGUAAGAGCGCACCGCGCGGCUGGUAACAGUCCGUGGCACGGUAAACUCCACCCGGAGCAAGGCCAAAUAGGGGUUCAUAAGGUACGGCCCGUACUGAACCCGGGUAGGCUGCUUGAGCCAGUGAGCGAUUGCUGGCCUAGAUGAAUGACUGUCCACGACAGAACCCGGCUUAUCGGUCAGUUUCA